ensembl:lincRNA
CAGGCAGCUUAAGCUGGGACUGACUUGAUCAGAAAAUUCAAAAUGCCAAGUCAUUGCCACUGAGGCAGUCUCCAUUACAGUAUGAGGAGCUAUGGCAGCCUGGUAAAUAUGAUUUACCAAAUUCGCACGUUAAAAUGUACACGACCUGAUUCCACCCUUCUACAGUCCCACCCCUUUCUGCUGUUAUUAUUCCUCAACUCUCCACGACCGAGAAUCAGCCCCGUAUUUGGCAACCAGGGGUGUGGCAAUGAGCUGAAGACACCAGCCAGCGGACCGAUGUGGAACCCUGCAGCGCUCCCAGGGGUACGACCCCAGGAAAGCCAAUGUGAAAGACACAGGAGGCUGUUUGAGGGCAGGUCUCAGUGGGGGACUCAGAUCAAAACCCUUUUGGUUCAGGAAGCCCAAACACCAAGAUAUUUUCAC